rnacentral:rRNA from 1 species
GUGCAGCGCCGCGGUAAUACGGAGGGUGCAAGCGUUGUUCGGAAUUACUGGGCGUAAAGCGCACGUAGGCGGACUGAUCAGUUGGGGGUGAAAUCCCAGGGCUCAACCCUGGAACUGCCUUCAAUACUGUCAGUCUUGAGUCCGAGAGAGGUGAGUGGAAUUCCGAGUGUAGAGGUGAAAUUCGUAGAUAUUCGGAGGAACACCAGUGGCGAAGGCGGCUCACUGGCUCGAUACUGACGCUGAGGUGCGAAAGCGUGGGGAGCAAACAGGAUUAGAUA